rnacentral:rRNA from 1 species
CAACUGUGUGAAUUAAUGUAAACUGCAUACUGCUUUGAACAUCGACUUCUUGAACGCAUAUUGCGGCCAUGGGUUAGCCUGUGGCCACGCCUGUCCGAGGGUUGGCUUACGAACUAUCACAACGCCCAAAAAGAUUGUGGCUUGGGUUUUGCCAGCUGGCGUGGUAUCCUCCACUAGUAUUGUGUGAGGUUCCAGAUCUAUGGCUUCUCCCUAAUAAACCCGAACGCAUCCCCAUCGUGGCUAAGAGCCACCAGAGGCUGUGGUGACGGAAUCGUGGUUUAGUAUGGCCAUUUCCCGUUUGCGCUGUCUGUUGUCGUGCGUAUGACCGCGGGUCGGGCUGUGAUUGAGUGCACUUGUCGCUAUCAUAGUCCUUAUACACAUGACGUCCCAGAUGGGUGAGUGAUCGCAUACGGGGCACGUUCCGUCAUUACUGCUUCCCCAUAGCUCGAACGUCUACGUGGGCAAUGCAUACGGCAAUGGUUUUACUACGGCGCAUUGAUCGUGCAAUGAAUCUGGGUUAGUUCCAGUACGUUGUGUGUAGUGCGUCCCCUGACCUCGGAUCAGACGUGAUUACCCGCUGAACUUAAGCAUAUCACUAAGCGGAGGAAAAGAAACUAACCAGGAUUCCCCCAGUAACGGCGAGUGAAGAGGGAAAAGCCCAGCACCGAAGCCUGUGGCCGUUUGGCCAUUGGGCAAUGUGGUGUUUAGGUUGGCUUGCGGAGGUGCUGCUCCACCCUAAGUCCUAUAAUGAGUAAGGUUACUCGGAUGUGGCCCAAAGAGGGUGAAAGGCCCGUGGGGGUG